rnacentral:rRNA from 1 species
UACGGGGGGGGCAAGCGUUGUUCGGAAUUACUGGGCGUAAAGGGCGCGUAGGCGGCCUGCUAAGUCGGACGUGAAAUCCCUCGGCUCAACCGGGGAACUGCGUCCGAUACUGGCGAGGCUUGAAUCCGGGAGAGGGAUGUGGAAUUCCAGGUGUAGCGGUGAAAUGCGUAGAUAUCUGGAGGAACACCGGUGGCGAAGGCGGCAUCCUGGACCGGCAUUGACGCUGAUGAGCGAAAGCCAGGGGAGCAAACGGG